rnacentral:rRNA from 1 species
GAUGAACGCUGGCGGCGUGCCUAAUACAUGCAAGUCGAGCGAACGGACGAGAAGCUUGCUUCUCUUAUGUUAGCGGCGGACGGGUGAGUAACACGUGGAUAACCUACCUAUAAGACUGGGAUAACUUCGGGAAACCGGAGCUAAUACCGGAUAAUAUUUUGAACCGCAUGGUUCAAAAGUGAAAGACGGUCUUGCUGUCACUUAUAGAUGGAUCCGCGCUGCAUUAGCUAGUUGGUAAGGUAACGGCUUACCAAGGCAACGAUGCAUAGCCGACCUGAGAGGAUGAUCGGCCACACUGGAACUGAGACACGGCCCAGACUCCUACGGGAGGCAGCAGUAGGGAAUAUUCCGCAAUGGGCGAAAGCCUGACGGAGCAACGCCGCGUGAGUGAUGAAGGUCUUCGGAUCGUAAAACUCUGUUAUUAGGGAAGAACAUAUGUGUAAGUAACUGUGCACAUCUUGACGGUACCAAAUCAGAAAGCCACGGCUAACUACGUG